CUGAUCUGUUAGCCUUAGCGGUUUAGAGGAUUAAAAAGGCAAGAAUAUUAGGAAGCAGAAAGAAAAGCAAGCAGGCAGCACAGCCAAUGGAGCAGAUCUAAUGGAGCACGGGGCCAGGGAAGAAAGGAUUCUGCCACCUGAGCGAUCGUAUUUAUUAUUCUUGUUUCACAAUUAAACUUUUAAGAAGCGAAUAAUAAUUUUCCAGACAUUUUCCCUUUCUUUGCUAUGCCAGUCACAUCGCCCCGUCCUUUAUCAACACUGCUCUGCAUCUGAAUGGGCUGUAAUUGAACUGUCGCUUUCCUGAAGAUGAAGAAGCAUUUCCAUGACACCGUGAAAGUGAACCACCAUCUGGCAAAUAACCUCGGGCAUAAGCUCAGCAUGUCUUGGCCUUUGAAGAGGACAGUCCCCAGCCUUCUGUAGCCAUGGAAGAAAUGGAAGGAAGAAUGAGGCAAAUGCAAACAAUGACAAAAGCAAACUACUCCGGGCCAUCUGAGGUUGAGCCAAGCAGAUCUUAUUAAACAUGGAACAAGACAAGCACAUGAACACGGACCAGCCACGCGCUCUUGAUGAUUCGGUGUCUCCUCUCUUGACCCCAAGCCCUGCUCUCACUAUUCUGAAUUUGCCCUUCCGUGGACAAGGACGCAUUACUAACUCAGGGGGAGGAAUGUUUCCAUCACUUCCUCAAGGUCACUUAGGUUUGCCUUGCUGGUCCUAUUCUGCUCUUGGUGACCGCAGUGUCUUACAAAGUCACCAUACUUGGUGUGUUUUUAAAGCUUCCAGGUGGUGAGUCCACAGGUUUUCAUCUAAAAUACUGACAACCACAGGCAAAAAAUCCUGUAAGGUAGCACUUCAGGUAGAAGAAAUUUAACAAUAUUGGAACUUAAGAAAAACAAAAUGUCCCAACAGACUUGGCCCAGCACAUCCUCCCCUCCAGAGAGGUGAACGGAAUUUGAACAAAAGAACUUCUUUUUUCCUGGUUCUCAAAAAGGAUAAAACGUCGAAAUGUCAGGCUUUAUGUAAAAGUCUUCUAAGUCUACUUAACAUUAUUAACUAAGUCAUGAGGAUGAAGGAUUCAGGUAGCAUGGGUGCAGGCAAGAUAAUGCUCUAGUUCCAUACACUGUUUCUUUCAAGAGCCAAAUUGAAAUUUUCUACUCUCCUAUCGUGUAAUUUAAAGAACAGUCUUUAGUUGACCUUUGUUCAGGGCCAAGUGGCUCUUUUAACAAAACGAUGAUCCUGGCUUUUAAAAUAUAUAAAUGAACAGAACACAGAGCAAUUGUAGGGCCGUGGAAAUAAUCUGUAGGGUAUGAUAAUGUGUCCAUAUGCAUUCGUCAGAACCUGUCUGAUGCACAAUGUCAAUGAAAUGAGCUUUAAACUUGUAUGAUGAGAAGAUGCUAAAAUGAAUUCAUCAGUCAUAAUGAGAGUACUCUUGAGACGGGGCCCAGAGAAAUGGCUCAGCAGUCAAGAGCAUUGGUACCCACAUAGUAGCUCAUAGCUAUCUAUGACUCCAGUUCUGGGGAUCUGACAUACUCUUCUAGCCUCCAUAAGCACCAGGCAUGAGCAUGGUACACAAGCAUAGCUACAUACAGGCAAAACACUUAAAAGAAGAUAAGUUAAAAACAAACAAGUAAACAAACAAACAAACAAACAAACCCAAGAGUACCCUUUGGGUGGAUGCUGUUGACAAUAAUAGAAUCUACAUGUAUGGAAGAAGAUAGUAUAGAAUCUCUCCAUUUUCCUUUCCACGGGCCUGUUAAAAUUUGGAUAAGCUGUUAUAUACACGAAUCUAGUGCUCCCUCCAUGGUAACGAAUCCUACUGAUGCAGGUACCUCAGUAGCCUUGAG